rnacentral:rRNA from 1 species
UAGGGAAUAUUGCACAAUGAGCGAAAGCUUGAUGCAGCAACGCCGCGUGCGCGAUGACGGCCUUCGGGUUGUAAAGCGCUUUUCGGGGAGAUGAGGAAGGACAGUAUCCCCGGAAUAAGUCUCGGCUAACUACGUGCCAGCAGCCGCGGUAACACGUAGGAGGCAAGCGUUAUCCGAAUUUACUGGGCGUAAAGCGCGUGCAGGCGGUUCGGUAAGUUGGAUGUGAAAUCUCCCGGCUCAACUGGGAGGGGACGUUCAAUACUGUCGGGCUUGAGGACGAUAGAGGGAGGUGGAAUUCCCGGUGUAGUGGUGAAAUGCGUAGAUAUCGGGAGGAACACCAGUGGCGAAAGCGGCCUCCUGGAUCGUUCCUAACGCUCAGACGCGAAAGCUAGGGGAGCGAACGG